AAAAAGAUGAAAGCAUUCUAACAUGAAAAGUGUCCAACGAGGGUUAAUUGUGCGCUAGAUUGGGGUCAAACAAACAUUCAAGGUACCCCAGUUCCAAAAACACCUUUGGUGGCAAUCUUUCACUGUUAUCUUAGCUACAAUGGUACCGUGCUGAGAGGAAAGGCAUUAAAUGCUGUCCUUCAAGCCAUUCUGAUUAAAUACUGGGAAAAUACAUAAAGCAUUGUAUUGUCAGGCUCCAGAAAACCUGCCAGGCCAACCCUAUUGGGAAAUCUUUAUUGUCCAUCAUGGCCCGUUUAGCAUGCAACAUUGCGAUAAACAGACAUGUUUUACUGAACGUUUGCCCCCACCCUUGAGGUUAUUUAUGGGCCCUCUACAUACAGCCUGUGCUUCCCAGCCAAACACCCUGACUGCUUUAUGCUUUGUUGCUUGUAGCACAAACCCCUUAUUGUAAACAGCCGCAACAGCAGUUGCAAAUUUGGAGGCCUGGAGGGGAAGUGUCUGUACAAGAAGAGGACGUGAUUUUGAAUUCCUUUGUUUGGUUUUUGCUGGUUCGUGAAUAAUGGCUGGACGACGUCUCGCGUUCAACUCGCCUUCAACUCCUCUCCGCGGUCACCAACUUUCGGCCAGUCCGCAGACAGACGAGAAGAAGCUGCUGAAUGCUCUCAGUGGAUUGUCUCGUCAACUCCAACAACAAACUGCCGAUAUCAACGAGCGGUUCGCUCCACUGGAGCGUUCGGGACUCUCCAGGUUUCUGUCCAUGGAGGAGAGGAACCGACUCAAAGAAGAGGAGACGGGCGCACAAUCCCAAGAUAGCGGAAGCGGUGCGCCGUCUUCACAACUCCGAGACGAAUUACAGGCGCUACGAACCGGAGCAAGGACUAAUCUCGCCUCAUAAUGAGGCGGUGACCUCGUAUUUGCUCCGGGAAAAAUCCAGAUUUAGACGACGUCAUUGUGUCCGCCUGUAAGACGUAUUUUGAGACGUACGCAGGAGCUUCAGGUUUUCCCAGCCGGAACACUGAUUGCGGGCGGAAGCUGCGAAGGAUUCAGCGCGGAGUCGAGCGAGAAGAAAGAGGCUGCUGGAAUCGAGACAAAGUGUGCUGGCUGAUGACGAGGUGGCACUCUGGAAAUCCGCCACCGUGGAGCUCACGUUGGACGGAGAGGAUGGCGUUGUUGGCGGGGUCUCGGGGUGGAUUGUACGGUCGCCACACACACGAGGCGCCUGCACAACAGACCUGCCUCGGAAAACACGGCGCCAGUGACGGUCCACAACCCCGAGGAGGCCAACGGACAGUUUACUGGGCUGUAGUUUUUAAACCGCCGUUACCCAAGUGUGGUCAGAUCCUCACUUUGUAUGUAGUUGUUGUUUGUGUGUUGUUAAUAAAGCUCUUUCUUUGCAUAAACAUGUGGCAAAUGUUCAUUUUCUCUAUAAAUUCAUUGAUGUCCUGGUUGGUAUCCUAAUAAUAGUGUAGUAGCCUACAUAGGAUAACCAUGAAAUUAAUAUACAGCAUAAUAUGAAUAUAUAGACAAGUUUCCCGGGCACUUCCGGUUUACUUCCUGUUUCUGCCAAGAACUUCCGGCGCAGGCUGAGUAGUGGUGUAAAAAUGGCUUUGGAAUGGCAACAUUCGACCGAAAAUCUUGUUAAAAAUGGUGUUUUGACCAUUCCGCAUCGAAGUAAGGUAACAUCAUGGGCGGACAACGUGUCGAUAUGGCCCAGCAUCACAACAUCCAAGAUCUUUUCUUAUUUUAUUGAUUCCAUGGCGGUGGAUGGGAAUGCAAUUAAUAACCUAAGAAAGCUCAGAGGCGUUUCAGUACCUCCAUUCCGACAAAGUGGGCUGUGUACUUUUACACGAUAUGGGCAUAUAACGGCCGAUGUUCAACCAAGCCAGUCCGUUAACAAUUCAGCGCGUAACGCCUGGGUUUUGGUUACCAAGACGGGAGAUGUGGAGACUGCAGGCUGUUCCUGUAGCCAUGCAGCCGCCGCGCUUUGGAAGGUACGUUAGCCCAUCUUAUGCUUGUAUUAAGAACACGAAGAGUAAUAAAAAGAAAAAGUAAUCCCCUCUAGCCUGCCUGCACUAAAAGCAUGCUUUAACCCUUCAAAGUUGACUGACGAGGGUCAAAGUGCGUACCCUAGCUUCUGAAUGGAUAAAGGUAUUAACUUACUUUUUUUUCUAUGAAAAAGCUGACAAUCGUCCGCGUAAUAAUUAGUAGACUGUGUUGACUUUGAAUGAUAAGCCUUUCGUAUUUGAGUGCAAAUCUAUAGCAUUUUACUCACUUGUAGAUGGUUGAUGGUCGAAACAUUCUCCUUCCAACCAAACAUUCAGCAAUCGCCACGAGUUGUUGCAACCGUGAACAGCACAAUAUGUCCCGGAGCCGUGUCGGCGUGUAACACCAUCCAUAGUUUACUUUUUCUGCACGCUAACCAAAGACCGUAAAAGACGCUAACUCGCUAACCGGAAGUGCUUUGCAGACACAACCGGAAGUCGUUGGCAGAGUGAAAGGCCAAUGGCGGCCCGCUUAUUUCACUC
ensembl:lncRNA